UUCGGUCUGGUGGCGAGUGGCGAACGGGUGAGUAAUAUAUCGGAACAUACCCAGUAGUGGGGGAUAACUAUCCGAAAGGAUAGCUAAUACCGCAUACGAUCUGUGGAUGAAAGCAGGGGAUCUUCGGACCUUGUGCUAUUGGAAUGGCCGAUAUCUGAUUAGCUAGUUGGUAGGGUAAAAGCCUACCAAGGCGACGAUCAGUAGCUGGUCUGAGAGGACGACCAGCCACACUGGAACUGAGACACGGUCCAGACUCCUACGGGAGGCAGCAGUGGGGAAUUUUGGACAAUGGGGGCAACCCUGAUCCAGCAAUGCCACGUGAGUGAAGAAGGCCCUCGGGUUGUAAAGCUCUUUUGUCAGGGAAGAAACGGAGUUCUCUAAUAUGGGAUUCUAAUGACGGUACCUGAAGAAUAAGCACCGGCUAACUACGUGCCAGCAGCCGCGGUAAUACGUAGGGUGCAAGCGUUAAUCGGAAUUACUGGGCGUAAAGCGUGCGCAGGCGGUUUUGUAAGUCUGAUGUGAAAUCCCCGGGCUCAACCUGGGAACUGCAUUGGAGACUGCAAGGCUAGAGUGUGUCAGAGGGGGGUAGAAUUCCACGUGUAGCAGUGAAAUGCGUAGAGAUGUGGAGGAAUACCGAUGGCGAAGGCAGCCCCCUGGGAUAACACUGACGCUCAUGCACGAAGGCGUGGGGAGCAAACAGGAUUAGAUACCCUGGUAGUCCACGCCCUAAACGAUGUCUACUAGUUGUCGGGACUUAAUUGUCUUGGUAACGCAGCUAACGCGUGAAGUAGACCGCCUGGGGAGUACGGUCGCAAGAUUAAAACUCAAAUGAA
rnacentral:rRNA from 1 species